rfam:Flavobacterium sp. A45 NODE_12_length_87776_cov_15.4856_ID_23, whole genome shotgun sequence.
GCCUAGCCCUGAUAGAAGCGGUAUCCUUUUUCUUGCUCCUUUAGCAAGAAAAAGAUACAAGCGGAUAGCAGGAAAUAGC